rnacentral:tRNA from 1 species
GGCGGGUUACCCAAGCGGCCAACGGGGGCUGACUGUAAAUCAGCUGCUUCUAGCUUCGGGGGUUCGAAUCCCUCACCCGCCA